rnacentral:rRNA from 1 species
CCUACGGGUGGCAGCAGUGGGGAAUAUUGCACAAUGGCGGGAACUCUGAUCUAGCGACGCCGCGUGAGUGAAGAAGUAAUUCGGUAUGUAAAGCUCUAUCAGCAGGGAAGAAAGUGACGGUACGUGAAAAAGAAGCUCCGUCUACAUACGUGCCAGCAGCCGCGGUAAUACGUAUGGAGCCACCGUUAUCCGGAUUUACUGGGUGUAAAGGGGGAGUAGGUGGGAGAGCAAGUACGAAGGGAAAACCCAAAGCUCAACAAUGGAAAUGCUUUAGAAACUGCUCAGCUAGAGUGCAGGAGAGGCAAGUGGAAUUCUUAGUGUAGCGGUGAAAUGCGUAGAUAUUAGGAGGAACACCAGUGGCGAAGGCGGCUUGCUGGACUGUAACUGACACUGAGGCACGAAAGCGUGGGGAGCAAACAGGAUUAGAUACCCGUGUAGUC